AGCCCCUUUAGCCGCCUCAGCAUCUCUCUCUCUCUCUGCACUGAAUUUUCAGCUAUAAAUAUAUAAUUUUUUUUUUUUUUUCUGGCCAAAACUCAUAUGCCUUUUCUGGGUUCAUCUUUAUCUUCCUCUCUUGUUGGUCAGCUCCUCGAUAAACGAAGGAAAAAAAGAUUCCAUUUUUGAGGGUUUGCAAAGUUCACAGAAUCACAUUCAAAUCCGGGACUUUUCAUACUAGAUGAUUGAAGUUGAAGAGCUUGGAGCUGAAAUUUGGUAGUGCGUUUUUGUUUUCUGGACGAAAGGUAGCGACUGUUUAAGAUCAUCAGAAAGAUGGGGUUUUGAUGAAUCUUUUGGAGUUCUUUGGAUCUUAUCAAUAAUUAUGCCUUGUUUGGUUGCCGACAAAAGGUAGGAAUAGAAAAGAAACCACAUACUCGAAGAAUUUGAUUGUGGGUUGAUCUUGUUAUCCAAUCGAAGUGAACCUUAUGCUUUUAAGGAGCCUGGUACAACUGUUUGUUUUAGUCGAAUCAUUUUUCUCAGCAACCAAGUGAGGGCUAUUGUAAAUUGAUUCAAUGGAGCACCUUAUGAUGGUUGAUGACACAUUGGGCGACAGUUCAGAUUUAGAAAUUGAUGACAUUAGGUGUGAAAACAUAGCGGAGAAAGAUGUUAGUGAUGAAGAGAUAGAAGCAGAUGAUUUGGAGAGGCGAAUGUGGAAGGACCGUAUCAAACUCAAAAGGUUGAAGGAAAAACAGAAACUUGCAGCGCAGCUAGCUGCAGAGAAGCAGAAGCCCAAGCAGACCUCUGAUCAGGCUAGGAGGAAGAAAAUGUCUAGAGCACAAGAUGGGAUUCUCAAGUAUAUGCUGAAGCUGAUGGAAGUGUGCAAAGCUCGGGGAUUUGUGUAUGGUAUCAUUCCUGAGAAGGGCAAGCCAGUGAGUGGUGCUUCUGAUAACAUAAGGGCUUGGUGGAAAGAAAAGGUGAAGUUUGAUAAGAAUGGGCCAGCGGCCAUAGCCAAGUAUGAAGCCGAGUGUCUUGCCAUGACUGAAGCAGAUAACAUUCGAAAUGGGAACUCUCAGAGCAUUCUGCAAGACCUUCAAGAUGCAACUCUUGGGUCACUUUUGUCUUCUUUGAUGCAACACUGUGACCCCCCUCAAAGGAAGUACCCACUAGAAAAGGGAGUUCCGCCACCUUGGUGGCCUACUGGGAAUGAAGAUUGGUGGGUUAAAUUAGGGCUACCCCAUGGUCAAAGUCCUCCUUAUAAGAAACCACACGAUUUGAAGAAGAUGUGGAAAGUUGGAGUGUUAACAGCUGUGAUAAAGCAUAUGUCACCUGACAUUGCUAAGAUAAGGAGGCAUGUCCGCCAGUCAAAGUGCUUACAGGAUAAGAUGACAGCAAAGGAGAGUGCCAUCUGGUUGGGGGUUUUAAGCAGAGAGGAAGCCCUAAUUCGGCAGCCCAGUAGUGAUAAUGGGGCAUCUGGUGUAACUGAGACACGACGAGGUGGCCGUGGUGAAAAUAAGCAAGCCGCGAUUAGUAGUGACAGUGACUAUGAUGUAGAUGGUGUUGACGAUGGUGUUGGUUCUGUUUCAUCUAAAGAUGAUAGGAGAAAUCAGCUGAUGGAUGUAGAACCUUCAGACAACCUACGAAAUAACACUCCUGUCCAGGAUAAAGAUCCAGGGGAAAAGCAACCGAGGAGAAAAAGAGCUCGUGUCAAAUCAAACCCUGCUGAUCAAGUGCCUGCACCGUCUCAAAAUGAACAUCUACAUGUUGAGCCGAGAAUCUCUCUGCCUGAUGUAAACCACACUGAUGUGGAGUCGGUUGGAUUCCAGACCCAUGGAGAUCAACAGGAAAAUGGUAUAAUUGCAGCUUUGAGGCCCCUGGAGAAAGAUAUUGAUGUCCAACCCCAUCUAGGUGCAUCUGAAUUUAAUAAUUUCUCUGCUCUACCUUCUGACAAUGUAAUUUCCACUCAGAGCAUGUAUGUGGAUGGAAGGCCUUUGCUUUUUCCUCUGGUGCAAAACACUGGGAUGCAUCAUGGAGAUGCUAGCAACUUGUAUAAUCGGCCAGGGGAAUAUGGGCACACACAUGACUGGCAGCACUCUCAGAAUGUAAUGAAUGAAUCUCACAUUAGGCCAGAGGAUGUUGGAGUCCAUGUCCGCGCACUGGAUAGAAGUGCAAACGAGAUUCCUGGAGGGGACUUGACCUGCUUUGCGAUGUUUAACGCCGAGCAAAUUCCACCUGUUGAUUCUCAGUUUGGCCCUGCAAUUGAUAGCCUGUCGUUAGAUUGUGGAGGAUUGAGCAGCCCCUUCAAUCUUGGAAUUGAUGGCCCGUGUCCAGUGGAGGACUUUUGGCUGGAUGAUGAUUUGAUCCAAUGCUUUGGCGCGUAAACAUUAUUAGAUUUGAUACAUCAGAGCUUAGAUUGGACUGCAGAAGUGCAGCAUCCAUUAAUGACCAAGCUUGAGGUGAUGGAUGUAGAACCUUCAGACAAUCUAGGCAAUAACACUCCUGCUGCUGUCCAGGAUAAAGUUCCAGUGGAAAAGCAGCCCGGUAGAAAAAGAGCCCGUGUCAGACCAAAACAAACAGUUGAUGUCCAGCACCAGGUAGCUGCAUCUGAAUUUACUCAGCACAAUCAUGGAGAUGCUGGCAACUCAUAUAACCCAUUAAGGGAAAAUGGGUCUCAGCUAGAGGAAGUUGGGGUGGAUACAAGUGCAAAGGAGAUUCCUGCAGGGGAGUCGCAGGGCAAUGCAAAAGACAUGCUUAACAACGAGGAGCAAAGUCGAGCAAAUGAUUCUCGGCUUGGCUCUGUGUUUGAUUCCCUGUCAUUAGAUUGUGGAGGUUUGAACAGACCAUUCAGUCAUGGAAUUGAUCGUCCGAGAAUAUUGGAGGAUAUUUGGCUGGAUCAGGUAUUGGGCGCAUUUUGAUAAGUCAGAGCCUGAUGUUUCUUGUCAACAUGUAUCCUAUUUUAUUAUUGGAUUUAAGAAUUUGGCCUUGUGAUUCUUUUUUUGGUGUUAUUUGUGUCCCAAACAGGCACUUGUAUUAU